rnacentral:rRNA from 2 species
UACGGAGGGAGCUAGCGUUGUUCGGAAUUACUGGGCGUAAAGCGCACGUAGGCGGCUACUCAAGUCAGAGGUGAAAGCCCGGGGCUCAACCCCGGAACUGCCUUUGAAACUAGGUAGCUAGAAUCUUGGAGAGGUCAGUGGAAUUCCGAGUGUAGAGGUGAAAUUCGUAGAUAUUCGGAAGAACACCAGUGGCGAAGGCGACUGACUGGACAAGUAUUGACGCUGAGGUGCGAAAGCGUGGGGAGCAAACAGG